rnacentral:rRNA from 1 species
UACGUAGGGGGCGAGCGUUGUCCGGAAUUAUUGGGCGUAAAGAGCUCGUAGGCGGUUCGGUAAGUCGGAUGUGAAAUCUCAGGGCUCAACCCUGAAACUGCAUCCGAUACUGCCGAACUUGAGGCAGGUAGGGGAAGGUGGAAUUCCUGGUGUAGCGGUGAAAUGCGCAGAUAUCAGGAGGAACACCAAUGGCGAAGGCAGCCUUCUGGGCCUGUACUGACGCUGAGGAGCGAAAGCGUGGGGAGCGAACAGGAUUAGAAACCCCCGUAGUCC